GUUAGAGUACACAGCCAGAAAUAAAUAAGCUACAGGAAGUAUGUUAGGAUUCCCCAGAGAUCAUGGAAUGUGUUUGAAGGAAUAUGAAUCAGCUUUUUUGUUAUCUUGAAUAGGCAAAAUGGCACGAGAAUCUUCCAACUGGACCCAAAGUCUCUAUUUUUGGUUAGAAAAUAAAACUUAUUUAAUGUUUAUGUUCCAUGACCUGUUUAUUGUUUUAUUAAAUUUUGUCAUACAGUUAUUUAGUUUUAAUAAUUAAAGAGAAAGUUGU